UCUCUACAGACUCCUUUUGCUCCCAAGCUUAGCUGGAAUUGAUUGAGUCAUCACAGCGUCAUUCCCCCCUUUGCAGCCCCCAGGCAGAUCUCCAGCGCAAGUCUUGAAAGAGACAUGCUCAGGCUGCAGAGCGCACUUGAAGCAUUGUCCGCCCAUCACCCCAUCCAUGGAUUUACUUUGAUGACGACAUUAAAUAGACAAACCUGAGGUUAAGACUCAAUUUAGGAGAGUGUACGUGCAUAUCAUUGUGCUUUUAAACAGUUCUGUUCUCGAGUAGUGGUCUUUUGACCUGUACCAAAGUGUGAUGGAUUUAAUUUUUAUUUUGGUUUUUUACCCCUUACAGCAGUACACUUUCUACUUUAACACGAUUUUUGCACCUGAAACAGACAGCAAUACUGAUGGAAUGUUAUUUCACCUCCACUUGACAUUCCAUUCCCCAAAGCAAUCCCAGGAGGGCCUCUGCAACUUGAGGAAAGUCACCCGUUCUAUAUAUUGUAUGUACAAUUUUAAUUUCUUAAAUGAAAAUUAAAAGCUUGGCAUAUAACAGAUAAAGUGAAAAUAUGUCUGCAUUCAAAUUAUACUCAAUGUAUAUAGGACAGAAUGGUAUUUUUAAAGACAUUCAGGUACAAAUACUGUAUGUUAAAGAGAGGUUAUGCCCUACUCUGACCUGCUGCUUACGAGACAACAUCACUAGAAUUGUUGUUCCACCUUGUGCAGUUAGGUCAAUGUUUGUUGUCGCACCCUGUUUGGAGACAGACGUUAUUUUUACGGAAAUCUGUUAUUGUUCCUUGUCUGACCUUUUUUGUAAUACUGAAAUGAUAAACAUUAAUGAACAUUACCAAAGUAUGAUAUUAAGUAUUAUAACACACUAUAAAAAUAAUAAAUUAUGUGUUUUUCAUAUUACCACAUUUAUACCUUAGAUUACAAAUGUUCCUUACCAAUAGAAAUUAAUAAACACCACAGCAUAAUCAUUGCAAAACUCCACACGAGAGGCUGAGUAGAGAUUCACAACUGAAACCUCUUGACUGUAAGGCAAGACUGUAUUAACAUUUUAUGGGUUGUUGUUUUUCACUUGUUUCACUGUAUCGUACACUAUUCUAUGGCCCCCUGGACCUGUAAUGUAUGUUCAAUGUUUUAUGCACCACAGGGCACUACAGAACAAAAUAAAGUCCAAUGCACUUUCC